GGUGGUUCAGUGGUAGAAUAUUUGCCUUGCAUGCAUGAGUCCCUGGGUUCAAUUUCUCAGCACCA
rnacentral:tRNA from 1 species